CAAUAGCGUAUAUUAAAGUUGUUGCGGUUAAAAAGCUCGUAGUUGGAUUUCUGCCGAGGACGUCCGGUCCACCCUCUGGGUGUGUACAUGGCACGGCCUGGGCAUCUUCUUGGGGUACGUAUCUGCACUUGACUGUGUGGUGCGGAAUCCAGGACUUUUACUUUGAGGAAAUUAGAGUGUUUCAAGCAGGCACGCGCCUUGAAUACAUUAGCAUGGAAUAAUAAGAUAGGACCUCGGUUCUAUUUUGUUGGUUUCUAGAGCUGAGGUAAUGAUUAAUAGGGAUAGUUGGGGGCAUUCGUAUUUAACUGUCAGAGGUGAAAUUCCUGGAUUUGUUAAAGACGGACUACUGCGAAAGCAUUUGCCAAGGAUGUUUUCAUUGA
rnacentral:rRNA from 1 species